GCCUGGCUCAUUUGGUAGAGCAUGCGACUCUUGAUCUCAGGGUUGUGAGUUCAGACCUCAUGUUGGGCA
rnacentral:tRNA from 1 species